GUUGCUUCCUAUGACAGGCGGCGACGUCAGGCUCUCUCUCUCUCGCCGACGAAUUCAAAUAACGACGAUGUUCCUUUCGCGCCUUCUGGCGCGA
rnacentral:sRNA from 1 species